rnacentral:rRNA from 1 species
GACGAACGCUGGCGGCGUGCCUAAUACAUGCAAGUCGAACGCUUCUUUCCUCCCGAGUGCUUGCACUCAAUUGGAAAGAGGAGUGGCGGACGGGUGAGUAACACGUGGGUAACCUACCCAUCAGAGGGGGAUAACACUUGGAAACAGGUGCUAAUACCGCAUAACAGUUUAUGCCGCAUGGCAUAAGAGUGAAAGGCGCUUUCGGGUGUCGCUGAUGGAUGGACCCGCGGUGCAUUAGCUAGUUGGUGAGGUAACGGCUCACCAAGGCCACGCUGCAUAGCCGACCUGAGAGGGUGAUCGGCCACACUGGGACUGAGCCACGGCCCAGACUCCUACGGGAGGCAGCAGUAGGGAAUCUUCGGCAAUGGACGAAAGUCUGACCGAGCAACGCCGCGUGAGUGAAGAAGGUUUUCGGAUCGUAAAACUCUGUUGUUAGAGAAGAACAAGGACGUUAGUAACUGAACGUCCCCUGACGGUAUCUAACCAGAAAGCCACGGCUAACUACGUG